rnacentral:lncRNA from 1 species
UGGUAGACAGUGUAUCUAUAUAUAUCUUGUGUGUAUAGCAUAGCAAUAGGAACCAGAACAGAUCUAGCUGUUUGUGUUGCCGUUGUGAUAAUGUUGCUAGCUUGUGAAAGUCAUUAUGGGAAAACUCUCUUUGAGUAAUUUCCAUGGUGAACCACAACCACUAGGUUUGGAAAACGAUUAGGUGAUAUAGACCAGCAUUUCUCAGCAUUGCAGUGGCCAGUAAUACUGUUGCAAAGUUUAAUUACCAGCAUUCAUUUCCACUUACGUGAGUGAGGAAUCGACCAAAACGGGGGUAAUAGUAAAGAAAUGUUCACAGUUAAGUCUAAUUGUUAUUUGGUUUUAAAUGAAAAAUAUGGCAGUGGUACAACACAAGGAAGCCUUUGGUUUUUCCAAAAUCUCUUUGUGAGGCUCUCUGAUUUAAAGAGGCCAAAAAAAUUGUAGGCUCAGAAAUACUUGCAGAAAGUUAAGCAAAUGCUGGAAUGUUUGCAUAUUUGUGAGGAACUACUUAGUUGUCAAAAUUGAUAGUCUGCCUUUUAAAAGUAAUGAACUAUGUGUAUAUUUACAUGUUCUUUUCAUGGAGAAACAGAAAGACAGCAUCAUCUUCCUAUGAAUCCCUACUUGCUGCAAGAAGUUUCAAGUGUCAUUAGCACUUGGUAAAAUUGAAGUUUCUCCAAUGGUUUUCAGCUUCAUUUAAAGCCAUCCUCCUGGCUCUUUAAAUGCCAGCAUGUUUGUUAUUUCUUCUACAGUGAAUAAAUCUUGUGCUGUUCCUUUCUGAGAAGUUCUUUCUCUAUUGUGCUUCCCAUAAGAAUGAUAGUAAAAGUACUUUACAUAUCCAAAGGCAUGUAUACAAUUUAUUAGAAACAACCUACCAGGAAAAAAAAGGCAGUGUAACAGUCAGCUGUUUGUGCCCACUAUGUGCAAAAGAAAAGUGACCUAUAAGCAGAUAUUUCAACUGCUUCACAGGUUGCUUGUCCCGUGAUGUUCAUCGCUGUUACCAUAUAUGUUGUUGGUUAAGCCAUUCUUAUGAGUUUUACUGUAAAAUUUCUCCUCCAAAUGUCUGUGAAGGGCAAAUAGUGAUUAAAUCAGUACCUUUGAGAGGUGGAAACCCUGAGGCCAGAUCAAAAUUAGUCUUGGUGACCAACACCUGGACGACUAAGAUUAAACUAUGCUUUUCUGAGAACCACACUGCCAAGCAACACAAAAGUGAAGGAUUUUCUUUCCUCCUUGUUCUUAUGGUUAAAAGUUAUAGAGAUAAAAUGAGUUACAGUGUGAUGAGCUGGCUACCUUGUGAUUCGUUCCCAGUAACCACAGAAAAACUUCAUCUGACCUUGUAGAUGUGAGGGGAGAGAUGUGAAAAAGCACAUAUCACUUAUGGUAGAGACUGCAUCCUGACUGCAAAAAGGUUAAUGAAAGUAGAGGUCAGGCACUAACCUGCCCUCCCUGGUUAACUCAGCUGGAGGUCAUUUUACGGAAAGGAACCCUUGUUAUGGAGAAGAGUUUUGGUGCAAAAGUAUUAGGGAAGGAUGCAAGUUGUCAUUAAAUGAUACAGAGGAGUUGGCAGUGAAGAAACUUUCUAUUUCCUCCCCACUUUCCCACUCUCCACUUCACAGUUUGCCUCCCCCUGGUUGUGCCGACACAACUAGAUGUUGGGCUGUGAGAUAAACCAGAUCUCUGAAAUGAUCCAAGUAAAAAUAACUCUUCUGACUAUCUUACAACUGAAGUAUUACCCUUGCAGAGCUCUUGAAGACCAAUUUUAAUGUUUAUUUUAUUUAAAAGAAAUAAGACAAAAAUCAUUGUCUUAUAAGGAAAACACUACUCUUAAGCAUUAUAAAGCAGUGCAUCAUGCCUUUUUCAGUUCAUAGGUUUUUUAUAACCAGAAGGGACUAAACAUUAUGAAGAUGAUUUCAAGUUCAUGGAGAAUAAAUGAAUUGAAUUUUGAGUGAGAAGGAAAAAUUGACACCCUAAACUUACAACUAUAUUGGCAGGCUACCUAAAAAUGUAAGACUGCUUAUUUUAAAAAGAGAAAGAGAGUGAGAGCUAACCUUAAUAACAAGAAAACAUGCAAGAUCAAGUGUAAGUUUCUGAAAGAUAAAUUUAUCCCACUUACAUAUUACUGCUGCUUUCUAAAGCUGUCUCUACCUAAUUUAAAUAGAUUGUUGAGAAAACCUGCUAAAUAAUAGAAAUUAGAAAGUGUGCAUUUCAUACAAGCAGGGAACAAGAGAAUAAGCAGAUUACCUAAUAAUUAAUGUCUGUCCAAAUGCUUGGCAGGGAUAACUUUAAAAGCCAGUGCUCAAUAUUAUGCAAAAGAGAAGAGAUGGAAGGUUAUGGAACAGCUCCUUCAAUAAAAUGGCAGUGGCAUUUAAUUCCUAAAUUAUUUGUAUAACACGCACUGUAUUUUAAUUCUGUUACUUUCACAAAAUGCAUAUUAUGCUAUUUAUGCUAAAACACUUUCUUAAAGAGUUGUCUGUGAAAGACAAGGCAAUCAGAUGUUAGCAGAAAAAAAAUCAUUAAAAGUUUGCUCUUACCAGUGCCCUGAUAGUGUAGCCUCAGAGGGGCUUAACCUGAGUAUUUCAAUUUUCUGCUUUCUCUCUAGCAUAGUUUCCUGGGUUAGAGAGCACAGUCACAAAACACUUAUUCAAGCAAAUUUCAUUUUGAUUCCUGCAGCCGAGAAAGCUUCAGCAUCAUUUUCUCAUCUGCUUCUCCACUUCACUUACUUACUUGGACAACCUUCUCUCCUCUGCUCCAGCUGAAACAACCUUUCGCCGGCACCGUUCCAACCAUCUUUUACUUUCGCAUUCAUUGCAAUCAGAUGGUGUGACGUAUUAUUGGCCUGUUUAUGGUUUAGAGCCUCUCCUCCCACACAGUAGGUAGCUGGGGCUUCUUUGGCUAUAGAAAAUUGGUGAUGAGAGAAGCUCCAUCAUUUUCUAGAGAGAUCCUAGAAGAAGAGGAAAAGAUGUUCUGAAUUGUACCUGUCAGUUUCCAGAGCUGAAAGAGGAAAUCUGCCUCAAAGUCAAGACAAACAAAAAACGGAGAAUGGACUGACA